CAAUAGCGUAUAUUAAAGUUGUUGCAGUUAAAAAGCUCGUAGUUGGAUUUCUGGUAGGAGUGACCGUUCCGAACUUGAUUGUUCGUGUAUUGUGUUUUCUCCAGCCAUCCUUGUGGAGAACUUUUCUUGCAUUAAUUUGUAGGGAUUGGGACCCGCAUCGUUUACUGUGAAAAAAUUAGAGUGUUUAAAGCAGGCAAUCGCUUGAAUACAUUAGCAUGGAAUAAUAAGAUAGGACUUUGGUACUAUUUUGUUGGUUUGCAUACCAAAUUAAUGAUCAACAGGAACAGUUUGAGGAUAUUCGUAUGAACAUGUCAGAGGUGAAAUUCUCGGAUUUUGAUCAGACGAACUACUGCGAAAGCAUUUAUCAAGGAUGUUUUCAUUAA
rnacentral:rRNA from 1 species